CGUCAGCUCGUGCCGUGAGGUGUCGGGUUAAGUCCCAUAACGAGCGCAACCCUUACUGUUAGUUGCCAGCGGGUAAUGCCGGGAACUCUAGCGGGACUGCCACCGUAAGGUGAGAGGAAGGUGGGGAUGACGUCAAAUCAGCACGGCCCUUAUGUCCAGGGCUACACACGUGUUACAAUGGCCGGUACAAAGGGCAGCUACACCGCGAGGUGAUGCUAAUCUCGAAAGCCGGUCUCAGUUCGGAUCGAAGUCUGCAACCCGACUUCGUGAAGUUGGAUUCGCUAGUAAUCGCGCAUCAGCCAUGGCGCGGUGAAUACGUUCCCGGGCCUU
rnacentral:rRNA from 1 species